rnacentral:rRNA from 1 species
AUUGAACGCUGGCGGCAGGCCUAACACAUGCAAGUCGAGCGGUAGAGAGAAGCUUGCUUCUCUUGAGAGCGGCGGACGGGUGAGUAAUACCUAGGAAUCUGCCUGAUAGUGGGGGAUAACGUUCGGAAACGGACGCUAAUACCGCAUACGUCCUACGGGAGAAAGCAGGGGACCUUCGGGCCUUGCGCUAUCAGAUGAGCCUAGGUCGGAUUAGCUAGUUGGUGAGGUAAUGGCUCACCAAGGCUACGAUCCGUAACUGGUCUGAGAGGAUGAUCAGUCACACUGGAACUGAGACACGGUCCAGACUCCUACGGGAGGCAGCAGUGGGGAAUAUUGGACAAUGGGCGAAAGCCUGAUCCAGCCAUGCCGCGUGUGUGAAGAAGGUCUUCGGAUUGUAAAGCACUUUAAGUUGGGAGGAAGGACAGUAAAUUAAUACUUUGCUGUUUUGACGUUACCGACAGAAUAAGCACCGGCUAACUCUGUGCCAGCAGCCGCGGUAAUACAGAGGGUGCAAGCGUUAAUCGGAAUUACUGGGCGUAAAGCGCGCGUAGGUGGUUUGUUAAGUUGAAUGUGAAAUCCCCGGGCUCAACCUGGGAACUGCAUCCAAAACUGGCAAGCUAGAGUAUGGUAGAGGGUAGUGGAAUUUCCUGUGUAGCGGUGAAAUGCGUAGAUAUAGGAAGGAACACCAGUGGCGAAGGCGACUACCUGGACUGAUACUGACACUGAAGUGCGAAAGCGUGGGGAGCAAACAGGAUUAGAUACCCUGGUAGUCCACGCCGUAAACGAUGUCAACUAGCCGUUGGGAGUCUUGAACUCUUAGUGGCGCAGCUAACGCAUUAAGUUGACCGCCUGGGGAGUACGGCCGCAAGGUUAAAACUCAAAUGAAUUGACGGGGGCCCGCACAAGCGGUGGAGCAUGUGGUUUAAUUCGAAGCAACGCGAAGAACCUUACCAGGCCUUGACAUCCAAUGAACUUUCUAGAGAUAGAUUGGUGCCUUCGGGAACAUUGAGACAGGUGCUGCAUGGCUGUCGUCAGCUCGUGUCGUGAGAUGUUGGGUUAAGUCCCGUAACGAGCGCAACCCUUGUCCUUAGUUACCAGCACGUAAUGGUGGGCACUCUAAGGAGACUGCCGGUGACAAACCGGAGGAAGGUGGGGAUGACGUCAAGCCAUCAUGGCCCUUACGGCCUGGGCUACACACGUGCUACAAUGGUCGGUACAAAGGGUUGCCAAGCCGCGAGGUGGAGCUAAUCCCAUAAAACCGAUCGUAGUCCGGGUCGCAGUCUGCAACUCGACUGCGCGAAGUCGGAAUCGCUAGUAAUCGUGAAUCAGAAUGUCACGGUGAAUACGUUCCCGGGCCU